AGCAGCCAGGCUGCCCGGGUCACUGGUUAUUUUUAUUCAGCCCCUAGAGUGAAUGCAAAUGAGACGCAGGGCACAGCGAAGCCGAAGAAAGUUUACCAAGUCUAAUCGAGUCCGUAGUCUGCUCGUGCCCGUCUGGACGCCGUUGGCGGGGCCCCGCGCGGAUUCGCAGUUUGUAGAACCUGUUGGGUUUAUUCUCCACAGAGAAGCACUGACCUGCUCAGUCCUGCGUACCAGCUGGCACCAAGGCAGAAAAUGGUCAAAGAGGCUGGAGAUGAUGGAGAUGGUUCCUGCUGACCGGCCUUUGAGGAGACCUGUGCUGUUUCCCUCAAACUCGGUUGCCCCAAAAGACCUUUACUGUGACUGUACAUCAGACCAAUUUCCUGAACGUCCUGCUCGGCCCUCUGGGUCUUCCAGAGCCGACUCUGCUGGUGGCUCGGGGAAAGGAGAAGCAGCCGGAUGGCACCAGGAGUCACGCUCCAUAGAGCUUUUCUGUGUGGGCAUCUUCUGGUUAGCGGUGAGCAAGGCAGU
ensembl:lncRNA